CACGUAGUUAGCCGGGGCUUCUUAGUCAGGUACUGUCAUUACCUUCCCUGCUGAUAGAGCUUUACAUACCGAAAUACUUCUUCACUCACGCGGCGUCGCUGCAUCAGGGUUUCCCCCAUUGUGCAAUAUUCCCCACUGCUGCCUCCCGUAGGAGUUUGGGCCGUGUCUCAGUCCCAAUGUGGCCGGUCAUCCUCUCAGAUCGGCUACUGAUCGUUGCUUUGGUAGGCUUUUACCCUGCCAACUGGCUAAUCAGACGCGGGUCCAUCUUAUGGCGAUAAAUCUUUUCACCCUGUACCAUGCGGUACUGUGUGCUUAUGCGGUAUUAGCAGUGAUUUCUCUCUGUUACUCCCCCUCAUAACGGCAGGUUACCCACGUGUUACUCACCCGUCGCCACUAGAUAACGCAUCUUCCGGCCGAAGCUUUCCAAUACGCAUCUCGUUCGACUUGCAUGUGUUAGGCACGCCGCCAGCCGUUCAUCCUGAGCCAGGAUA
rnacentral:rRNA from 1 species